ensembl:snRNA U6 U6 spliceosomal RNA
AUGCUCACUUCAGCAGCACAUGUACUAAAAUUAGAAUGAUACAGAGAUUAGCAUAGCCCCUGUGCAAGGAUGACAUGCCAAUUUAGGAUCAUGUUUUAUUCUCA